UUUGGGCCCUGGCAAGGUCUGAGGAGGGAGCGCUGCGAGUGAGAUAAACAUUCUCUGUUCGGGAGCUGGUUGGUUGGAAGGGAAGACAAGAGGAUGUGGGGACAACAGGUCAAAGUGUUUGUCCAGGCUGAGAGGAGAGAGACCGUCACGGCCCUGGAGCAAUAAGAUGAUAUGGACUUUUCCACCCAGAAGAGGCCUUGGCAGAAACCCAGGGAAGAAAAGUCCAUUGAGUAGGGAUAGAAAACAGUUUCUCAAGCUUGCCUUUGCUCCCUCUUUCUCUCCAGCCUUACUGAGCCUAAUCAGGUCAAGCAUCCAGCUCCUGCUGCCAGACACAGUGGCAUUGUUUAAAUAUCCCUGGCCUCCCCCCAAUACCCUGUCCCCACUGGGAACCGAGUUCCGACAAAGGAGGCCCUGAGGGACGGGCCUGAGAGGACAGAGGCCCAAGGCAGGGUCACUCCCUCUGUCACCCUCUUCUCCCUCCGACUUACUAUUUUUCUGCCAGGGACCUGAGAGGGAAAACAAGCUGGCCUCUGGAAAACCUGAUGGCUGUUUUUGUUUACAUAAAGAACACCCAAGAGCAUGGCAAAGAAGCUGGAGCCAUGGGCAGGACACAACUGAGCUUGGCAUCUGGGCCUGGAUCUGCCACUGCCUCUGGCUUCACCUCUCUGGGCCUCAGGUUGCAUGAAGGCAUCAAAGUAGAAACAACUUUGAGAUCCCUACUAACCCAUAUAUUGUAAGCUUUCAGCAAACAUUUACUUAACAUACACCAUGUGUCUGAUAUGGUACUAAACCCAAGCUCCCAGAUAAGGUGAAUGAUUGCCCCAAUUUUCCCAGGACUCUCCCAGUUUUAGCACCAAAACCCUGAACAGUUGGUCACACCAGCCCCAGACCUCAAGCAGCUCAUGGUAUGGAAACAAUGACAGAUGUGUAAUAGCAUGUGAUGAUUGGUCUAGUAGAGAGUUUACAAAGGCAUGGGACUCGGUGGAGGCAGAGACUAGCUUUUGGCAGGAGAGCUGGUAAAUUUCACCAUAGUGACACUUGUGAGCAGUGGGGAACUAUGGGUGGAUUAAAAAAAAGUCAUCUGUAUUGAGGUAUGAAUUAUAUACAAUACAGUGUACAUACUUCAAUGUACAGUUCAAUGAAUUUUGACAAAUACAUAUAUCCAUGUAACUAUAACAUCAAUCAGAAAAUUUAUACCACCCCAACAACUUCCCUAGUGCUCCUUUGUAGUCAAUCCUAUGCCAACUAUCCCAUCCCAGGUAACCACUUACCUGGUUUCUAUAAUUAUAGAUUCGUUUUAUGUAUUCUAGGACUUCAUAUAAAUGAAAUCAUAAAGUCUGUGCUCUUUAUUAUCUAACUUGUUUGCUCAGCAUGUUUUGAGAACCAAAGAUGUUGCAUAUCAAAGUAGUUUUGUUUCUUUUUUUUACUCCAGGGUAUAGCUAUAAUCACAAUUUGUUUAUCCAUUUACCUGUUGACGAACAUUUGAGUUGUUUCCAGUGUGUUUGUUUGUUUGCUUGCUAUUAUGGAAAUGCUGUUACGAAUAUUAUAUCAAGUCUU